rnacentral:rRNA from 1 species
GACGAACGCUGGCGGCGUGCCUAACACAUGCAAGUCGAACGGGGUUAAGAGCUUCGGGUGAUCUUCUAGCGGCGGACGGGUGAGUAACGCGUGAGCAACCUUUCCUCUACUGGGGAAUAACACCGGGAAACUUGUACUAAUACCGCAUGAGACCACAGAACCGCAUGGUUUAGGGGUCAAAGAUUUAUUGCUGAGAGGUGGGCUCGCGUCUGAUUAGGUAGUUGGUGAGGUAACGGCCCACCAAGCCGACGAUCAGUAGCCGACCUGAGAGGGUGAUCGGCCACAUUGGGACUGAGACACGGCCCAAACUCCUACGGGAGGCAGCAGUGGGGAAUAUUGGGCAAUGGGGGAAACCCUGACCCAGCAACGCCGCGUGGAGGAAGAAGGUUUUCGGAUCGUAAACUCCUGUCCCUCAGGGAAGAGCAGAAGACGGUACCUGAGGAGGAAGCCCCGGCUAAACUACGUG